GAUGAUGGCAAGCGGUUAAAUGGAGGAAAGUAAUUUGAGCUCCUGCCUUCAAGCGGGAGAAAGACCAAAGAAAAACCAAACGAUGAAUUUACAGAAAUGUCUGUUACUCAACCAUGGAAGGUGGUGAAGUGCAACAAAGUAGUCCUGGAGAUUUUUGACAAAGGAUGCAACAUGACAGAUGCGUUCCGAAAGUAUGGUGUGGACCGAAACACGAUUAUGCAGAGUGCAGCUAUUGCUGAACUGGCCAUUGCAGCUCUUAUUCUAUGCAGAACUAUACAGAAAUUCAAAAUAAACAGGGAGAGAAAUUAUUAAGCAUUUACUCAAAAUUGUCAAGAUGAUAUUAUGGCAGAUGAGAGCAUUGCACACAAAAUACAACACAUGAAAAAUGAGGGGAAAUUGCUUUUAAUAAAAAAAAUAUUGAUUGUUGUAAAGAAAAAAAAGGUUUUAUAUGUAUAUGUAUAUACACUUUUUAUACUUUAUUUUUAUAAUUAUGUUACUUAUUUGUUUCUUUUUUAUAUUAUUGCACAGUAUAUGUUAUGUAAUGUACAGUAAUAAAGAUUUUGAAAGUCUAAG
rnacentral:lncRNA from 1 species